AAACACUAAAGUCACAUCAAUCAAUGAAUCAACCCCAUCACGCCAUGGUGGGGAUUGGGACGCAUCAAUUGAAUAAUAUUCUUCCAAAACUGACCCCCUUUCCUUUUCAGACGAAAGAAUCUCCAACCAAAUAAAUGAAGACAUCUCCCAACCCAACUAAUCAUCCCAUCAUUUCCCAGGUACCAUAAUUCCAGGAACUCAACCCAUUCUGGAACCAAAAAAAAAAAAAAAACAGACCAGAAUUUGAGGUUGAUGGAGUUCAGCAGAAGUUUCAGGUUGUCAAAGUCACACCGCAUACCGUUUUCAUCAGAAAAUCUAACAUCGGAAUGUGGGUACGAGAGACUCUCUCAGUCGAUGAGGCUAAGUGGUGAAUACGAUUUCAGUGAAAAGUACAAGAAAAACAAAAGGGGUGCGGGGCUUCUUGGUAAAGUUUUCUCCUUUGCGAGAAUUUCAUCUCCCCACGAAGAGCCUAAUAAGAUGGCGGAGAGGGUGGUAAAGAAGGAGAAGAAACGCUCUUCCUGGCUUCCCCAUCCAGAUAAACGGUGGCCAAUUCAGGGGUGGUGAUGUCUUUCUGGCAUCAUUUCCACUCUUCCGGUGUCAAGGGCUUUCGAUUGAACCGAUCGGUUUGUGAAUCUGAGCUGUUUUGGAAAUUGUUGAGCGUUGAGGGUAGAAGGACUUAUAGAGGUGAACCAGUAACCAUAUCUAGUAGCGUUCGGUCACGUAAGAGGUAAGGGAAGCUUAUAUAAUUUGAUUUUAUGUUCGUUUUGAAUGAAUGCAUGUUCGUUGAUUUGCUGAAUGAAUAUGAAAUAUGAUUGUUGUUAUGUUUUGACUGCAUGAAGUAUGAAUAUUUACUAUGAUAUGGAUGUAUGAAAUUAUGAAGAUAGAUGUUGAGAAAUGAAUUGAUAUAAAGAAUUCUAAGUAUGUAAUUCCAUAUGAAAAUUUAUGUUCGUCCCUGAAGGUCUUUGACCGUGCAGUUUUCUUGUGGACUCGGUUGGAACUGGAUUCUUUCAUUUGGAUGAAAUUCCAGUUGAGGACCGAGCGUCUUCGUUUAGUGAAAUUUGUAUAUAAGCGUUCAACCAAGGAUAUUCGUUCCUUGGUAUUCUGUUAUAAACUUAAGUAUAUCUAUAUGUAAUUGUAUAUAUAUUGUUCGUCUUGAACACUAGUUAAAUGGUAUCUUAUAUUUAUCAAGCCUUUAUUCUAUAAGUUAAGUAGUGCUCGGUCUUACACCAAGUACUCGUACUAAGUGGUGCUCGGUCUUAAACCAAGUGCUCGACCUUGAUUCUGUAAUUUAAUUUUCAAAUAAGAGCAUUCGGCCAAAACCAAUAGCGUUCGGUCUCUACAGUGCUCGGUCUUCAACUAGCACUCGUUCUCCUUGAUGUUAAACUCAUAAAUAAGCUAAGUAUUUAUAGCAUUCAGUUUCUUCAUAUAAUUCCGUCACUUAUUAUUAUUCGAUGUCCUACAGUAUUAGUUUCUAUGGUGUUCGGCCUAGAGUCUUAGUACUCGGCCUAGUCUUAUUGGCGUUUGGUCUAAACUCUCAUGGGUCAGUUCAUUAAAUUGGCUCAUCUUGUAAAUAGCGUUCGAUUCUAUUAGUCUUUGAGAAAUAUUAUUGUAAUCGGUCUCUUUCUCAACCCCGAUAGUAACUCUCUCUGUUUUGAUCUGUUUUGGAACUGGAGACCUCUCGGUCUCACUACAAGUGUUCGGUCUCGUUCGGGGUUGAAGAUUAACGUUCGGUGUUUGGUAUCCUGAGGGAUCUUUUUUCAAAUUGGUUCAGUUGAGGUUUUAAUAUUGAAAGAUGGUGGAAUAUGAUAUGGAUGAAAUGACUUUGGUUAUGAACGAGUAUUCCGGGGAGGAAUAUCUCAUGAAUGUAUAUUGGAAUUGGUAAAGUAUGAAUGUGGGCAUGUUAAGCUGGCGGUUCAUCCUGAUAUUCCGUGAUUACUCGUUUCUCACGUAGAGAAGGGUAAGUCAUGUGUGGGAAUGGCAGGAGGUCCUAGUCCUUAUGGUUAAUUUGGACGGAACGGACUAACCUCGGGUGGCAGCUGUUGAGGGUAUCCCAGUUACUACAUCACCCGGGUGCACGAACGUCGUAGCUACACAGAAUUCAUACAGUUCGGACAGUCAGAGUCUAGUAUUAGGCUUUGCAUGAAAGAGUUAAUGAGUUAUCUUGUUUAAAUUGAUUGAGUGAGAUAUAUGUUGAUAAUUGAAUUGAAUUACAUAAGCUUACCCUAUUUCCUGUCAUGUCCGUUUUGUACGUUCGGUCGUUUGUCCUGUUCCAAUGAUCAUCCGUGUGGAUGUGAGCAUAAGGAGAAGAGUUGCUGGAAGAAGCGCUGGAAGAAAAAAAUUUGGUCGAGGUAGAAGUUAAGACCGAACAGUAGAACCGUUCGGUCAUCUGUUGUUUUUCUUGUUUUGGAGGACCAUUCGGUAUAAGUAUUUUGUAAACCGUUCGGUCUAUGUAGCAUAAUUGUACAGUUUUAAUUUCCCCGUUAUCUUGUAAGGCCGUUCGGCCAUAAGCGUACGUCUCAUCUUUUGUAAGACUGAUAUGAAAUAUUAUUAAGAUGUGAUUAUU